rnacentral:rRNA from 1 species
UACGUAGGGUGCAAGCGUUGUCCGGAAUUAUUGGGCGUAAAGAGCUCGUAGGCGGUUUGUCGCGUCUGCUGUGAAAACUCGGGGCUUAACCCCGGGCCUGCAGUGGGUACGGGCAGACUAGAGUGCGGUAGGGGAGACUGGAAUUCCUGGUGUAGCGGUGAAAUGCGCAGAUAUCAGGAGGAACACCGGUGGCGAAGGCGGGUCUCUGGGCCGUAACUGACGCUGAGGAGCGAAAGCUCGGGGAGCAAACAGG